rnacentral:rRNA from 1 species
GGUGUGUACAUGUCCCAGAGCUGGUGUUAAUUUAAAUAGUCUUGUUUAAAUUACUGCUAAAUCCGCCUUCAUUUUCUUUUUCAGUGAAGAAGUAUAAGUUCGUGUGGUUUAAUAUAAACAAUGUAGCCCAUUGCCUCCACCAUAUAAGCUACACCUUGACCUGACUUGUUAGUAUAUUACUAUUUUGUCUACUUGUAUUCUUUUAAAAGGUAGACUGACGACGGCGGUAUAUAGGCUGGUAGUGUUCUAAAGGUGGUUAGGUAUAUCGUGGGUUGUCGAUUAUGGAACAGGCUCCUCUAGGAAGGUUGGGACACCGUCAAGUCUUUUGAGUUUUAGGCUUUCGCUCGUAAUUUUCUGGCGGAUGGGGUCUUAGUGGUGCUUAAGCAUAGUAGGGUAUCUAAUCCUAGUUUGUGUCUUAAGGGUCAUGGGUCAAAAAGUCUGUUGUAUUAAAGGUUUGGUGUUCUGAUAAUUUGUGAAUUUAACUUCAUAAUUAAAGUUUUUAAUUAAUAUAUUAGAUUAUUAUAGCCAUGCUUUACGCCGUAAGUAUUACUUUUAGCUUAAAUUCGUAUAACCGCGGUCGCUGGCACGAAAUUUACCAGCAUU